GUGUCAGCAGCCGCGGUAAGACGAGGGAUCCUAGCGUUGUUCGGAAUCAUUGGGCGUAAAGCGGGUGUAGGUGGCUUGGUAAGUCAGGUGUGAAAGCCCAGGGCUUAACCCUGGAAGUGCAUUUGAUACUAUUGAGCUUGAGUGUAGGAGAGGUUAUUAGAAUUCUUGGUGUAGUGGUGAAAUACGUAGAUAUCAAGAGGAAUACCGGAGGCGAAGGCGGAUAACUGGCCUAACACUGACACUCAGACCCGAAAGCGUGGGGAUCAAACAGGAUUAGAUACCCUGGUAGUCCACGCCGUAAACGAUGGAUACUUGUUGUUGGAGGUAUUGACCCCUUCAGUGACGAAGCUAACGCGUUAAGUAUCCCGCCUGGGGAGUACGGUCGCAAGAUUAAAACUCAAAUGAAUUGACGG
rnacentral:rRNA from 1 species